GACGAACGCUGGCGGCGUGCUUAACACAUGCAAGUCGAACGGAAAGGCCCUGCUUUUGUGGGGUGCUCGAGUGGCGAACGGGUGAGUAACACGUGAGUAACCUGCCCUUGACUUUGGGAUAACUUCAGGAAACUGGGGCUAAUACCGGAUAGGAGCUCCUGCUGCAUGGUGGGGGUUGGAAAGUUUCGGCGGUUGGGGAUGGACUCGCGGCUUAUCAGCUUGUUGUUGGGGUAGUGGCUUACCAAGGCUUUGACGGGUAGCCGGCCUGAGAGGGUGACCGGCCACAUUGGGACUGAGAUACGGCCCAGACGCCUACGGGAGGCAGCAGUGGGGAAUAUUGCACAAUGGGCGGAAGCCUGAUGCAGCAACGCCGCGUGCGGGAUGACGGCCUUCGGGUUGUAAACCGCUUUCGCCUGUGACGAAGCGUGAGUGACGGUAAUGGGUAAAGAAGCACCGGCUAACUACGU
rnacentral:rRNA from 1 species